AUAUAUUAUUUUUAACUUCUAAAAACACUAAAAAUAAAGAAAAUAUAUAACAUUAAUAAAGUACAGCAAUGGAAUUCAAUAAAUAUUAAUAAGUAAGUAGUAU
rnacentral:rRNA from 1 species